GAAAAACUGGGGGGGGCUUACCUAAAACAGAAAAACUGGGGGGGGGGUACCUAAAACAGACUGAAUUGCAUUGGACAGAAGGGGACAUGUUCCAAAGGGAUACACAGCAGACAAUGGUCCAUAAAAGGACAAAAAAGUUACAUUAAAAGAGCAACAAUUUAAAGUUUGAAUAAAUGUGGGAACUUAACCAAGAAGGGAUGACAGAUGUGUGGGUAAGUGGAAAAAUUAUGUUAGUGAAAGUGUAUUGAAAGCAGUGUGUCUGUUAAAGAAAAGGAAGAGCUAGUAAUUUAGAAAGUUAGAAGAAUAAACUCAGUGAAAGAACACAUUCUGCAGUUCCAUAGUUCUGUGUAUUGAAAGUAUGUUCACAUAUUUCCUUCACAAAGGCCCUCCCACAUUUCCAAUAACAUUUGAGUGCCAUAUGUAUACUCAUACAUGAGUAUACCCUCUGCAUACUCAUGUUUAUACCAAGUCCAUUAUGCAUCCAUUUCUUCUUAACAGUGAAUAGAUGCCUUAGUUGAGCCUAGACAUGUAGGCCCCAUUUUCACAUUCAAGAGGAGAUUGCCUAAGCCCAAGACUCACUCAUAUGCUCUGCAAUUUGUGCAGCCUAACAUGUUGAGGCAAUGUGUGAACCACCCACAAAUCCAUCUCAAUAUGUAUUAAAUAUAAAGAAUUGGAAGACAUAACUUGGAUGAGUGAUGUUAUCACUGGCUUCACUCCAUUGCUCUUAAUGCCUCUUUUCCAAACUUCGAAUAGUCCGGCUUUCCCCCUUCAUGUAUAAUCACAGCUUUCCAACCAAGUUGAAACUCCCACCCCACCCCCCGUUUUAAGUAUGUCUGGUUUUCUGCAUGUUAGGAAGUAAAUUAUGCUUCCACUUGCCCUUGACAAAAUAUUACCAUACCUGAUACUCUUGGUUCUUCAUAGAAUAUACUGAUGCCCAAAUUUCCCUAGGAAGUCUGUAAAUGAGUUGACUUCAAGUUUGUUUUUCUGUCCUUCUUGUUCAGGGAGCUAAUACAAUAUCCUGGAUAUGAAAGUGUGUGUCUCUAGUUCAGGCUUCCUCAACCUCAGCCCUCCAGAUGUUUUGAGACUACAAUUCCCAUCAUCCCUGACCACUGGUCCUGCUAGCUAGGGAUCAUGGGAGUUGUAGGCCAAAAACACCUGGAGAGCCGAGGUUAAGGAAGCCUGCUCUAGUUCCUUAAAAAUAAACUGCUGAAACCAGACAGUGGUCAUUCUUGAACUGUUAUAAGCAGCCAGUCAGAGUCCGCUUCCCUGUUACAUCUCAUAUUGGCAGUGCUUCCAGUCUCUUCAUGUUGUUAUCCUCUCCCCCUCUCUAAAAGCAUGUUGGUGCCAUUAGAAUAAUAACUACAGUACUUUAGAGUAUUGCUUUUCAGACUGCUUUUAUCAAAGAGAGAAACCUUUCUUUGUGUGUUAACUUUAAAUGUAUUUGAAUUUUUAAUACAGAAGGGUAGGCCUAAGUAAGGCCAGAAGAGGGAGCUCUGAGUUAGGUAAAAAAAUGGUAGAAAAGUAGAGCUAUAUAUUAAGCAAGGAAAUUCUCGUCUUGUCUCUGAGCAUUAGCCUGACAUACAUACAUACAUGCAUACAUACAUACAUACAUACAUGUAAGCAAUAUAUUUAAUUAUACACAGAUGUUUUCAUGUCCUAAUGCAGUUUUCAUUACCAAAAGCAGGGUGGCCUCAAGCAUCCCCCUUGUGUUUACCAAUGUCCCCCCCCUCCUGUUUUUUUAUUUUAAAAUAAGGUGGGGUUUGAAGGUUUCUUCUGAUUCUUUGAUGGGGAGGAGAGUUACACACACAAACCUACCAUUCAGCGUUAUUGUGAGGGGGGGAGUGGAUAACAAUGUUCACUACCCUGUUUUUUACAAUUGGGGAUGUGCAGAUAUACUUUUAGAAUUUGAUUAUAAAAUGAGCACAGUGUGUUUCUUUAAACCCUGCCCCCAUUCCUACCCUAUCUAUAUGUUAAAAACACAUAUCCAUUUGUGCUACGUACACAUUAGAAUGCUGCAGUGCAAAUCUCUGACUUAAAAAAAAAAGUAUAACAUCAAUCAGUACAAAAGACACAAAAAUACUGAGUGGUUAAAUCAUUCCUCGUAAGGUCAUUCAGCAUUAAGAAUAGCUUCUUCUCUGUUUCCAUUAUGAAUGACUGAUAUCUUUGGGGUGCAUGUUAGUGAGGUAUCACGCUGUAUCUAUUUGCACAACCCCCCACCCAUUAAACUGGGAACAUAUUGAAAACUCUGUCCCACCACAAUUGCUGUGGAAGAGGCUCAGCAUCAGUCAAUAAAGGCACUUCUUUUCUAUACAGAUACAAUAAUGGUUCAGUUCAAAACUCUAUCCCUUCUGGUGCAAACCAGGAUAAUUCAGCUGUUAUGAAUGGAGUGUUAUGCUAAAUUCACAUUGUAUAUAUAGAAAACAAAAGGUGCCAUUCUGUGCUCUCACUUACUUGGGUGUAAGCCCUGUUGAACUUAGAGGCUUUCUCCUGAGUAUAUAGGAUGGCACAAAUGUAUUCAAGUUUGAAGAAGAUGAAAGGCAAAGCAUACCAAAAAAAAAAAAAAAAUGUUCACAAGAACACAAAGGACUUCUGUACUGUUUGCAUAUCCUAGUGCUUCCUGUUUGGGUAUCUUCUUGAAAAUUUGACUUGCAAUUCAGUAAUUUUUGUGAUGGCUUUGAAAUAUUAUUAUUAUUAUUAUUAGUGGUGAGGCAUGGAGAGUGCUCCAAAGAAUUCAAAGUGCCUGGUCUAUUAAUGAAUGACACAGACUUUUAAACAAUAGAUGCUUGUUCCCCAGCUACUGCAAAUGCUUAGAAAGAACUAUAUUGCCUUGUAUACUCAAUAGCUUGGUAACAAAAGACUGUUUUUCUUUUAUUUAUUUUUCCUUCGAAUGGAUUUGAUGGUUCACUUGAACUUUAAAAAAUUGCAUAAAGGUUUACCAGUUACUGCAGAACUCUUCUGUCAGGGUUAAUAUCUGUGUCUAUAUGACAGAGACAUGCAGAGGCUCGUGCAUAGUUGUAAUCCUCGAUACAACUUCCGUUUAAAGAAGCCAAAGCUAUGAAGAAUUUUGAAUAUUUAAUCUUUCAAAAUUUAAUUUUACAUAGAAUUUUUCAAAAGUUGCUUUUAACAUUCACACUGGUGUUUCAAGCUGUUAAGGGAAUUUUUUCUCUUGCAAUUAUGGUGAGCGAAUGCACUCUUAUCUCUUUAAAAGAGAGGAAGGGCUUGGCAUCUCUCCCUUUUCUAGACAGUAAACCUCAAUUAUCUGAAUGACCUUAAUGCAAGGAAAUGCUAAUCACACAUGGUUGCUCUGGCAUUAGGUUAAGUUGGAAACACAUUUUAAAUUUGGUUACCUGACUUCCAAAGAGUAGGGACUCUUUAUUUUAUUUCCCACUGGAAAUAUUUUAAAGAAAGCUAAAGCUAAAUAAAAUCAUAACGAUCUACAGCAUUAGCACAGAACAGGAAUGAAGAAGUGACUUGUGACAUUUGUGAGGUAACUUCCAUGCCAGGAUAGAAAACUAGCACCUGGAUCUUUUAUCUGAAGCUGAGUGGCAUUGCCAUUAAGUUCUGGUAAAACCAAGGAGACUUUGUCUGAUCUAAAUGUUUACCAUUACAGUGCCAAAUGCCAAAGUCUUCAGCUUAAAGCAGAAAUGCAGGGAAGGCCAUAAACAAGUAAAACAUCAUUGGUUUCGGAACAAAUGCUUGGUGCCUGUGGAGAAGGGCUUAUGGCUCAAGUGGUAGAUCUCUGGAUAAUUUGAGGUUAUGCCGCAGUUUACUUUACCACUAGCAGAGGGAUCCAAUUUGGAUGAAUUUCACAGUAACAACUCUGCUGCAGUCCUUGCCAUCCUGGAUCAGUUUGGGACGGAAUCCAGCUAAGGCUUAUUUCUGCAAAGUAAUUUUGACUGAAGAAAACUCAGACAUCCUUCCAAGCUACAUCCAUGAUUGCGAAAACAAUUCAGGAUGACUCGUCUAUCAAGGAGAUAUUUGUGAGUAAGCAUCAAGGAAAUUUAAGAAAAGGCCUUGGUAUCUCUUCCAGCUACCCCAUAAACCCUCAUACGAUAGAGUUCUGUUCUGUAUUCUGCAUCUUUUAAACCACAAUUAAGCCAUUGUUUGUCUUCCACCAAACAAAACACUACUGUGCCAGUAAAGCCAAGAACAAACUUUGAUUAUAACUUAUGGGUUUUUUUGGAGAGAUACAACCUAUGAGCCCAAGUUUGGACAUAAUGCUAAGCCAAAUACUGGAGCAGAAAUGGGAAAGAGAAAAGUGGCCCAAUUUUAGCCCUGUGCACCAGCACACUGCACAUUCACCUUUAAACAAUAAACUGUGGUUUAUCACUUCAGCCACAACAGCUGCAGCAAGCAAUGGUUUUGAGAAGAGCUGGCUUUGAUCCUUCUUUUACAGGAAUGUAUGCUUCACUAACACAGUCCCCAUUUUCCAAUGUCAUUCUGAUAAAUCUGGCCCUGUUUUUUGACUUCCACCUUAGCUGAAUUACUGUGGUGACAUAUCAGUUUAAUAAGAAAACCUAUAAUACAUUUGAAUGUAUUAUCCCAUACAUUCAAUAUGUUUGAUUUUAUGUACUGAAAGUUGCUGUGCUUUUGGACUUCAUUCUCAACAGGCACUGAUAGGCAUUUUCUUCAUAUUGGACCUGAGCAGGGCACUUUUGAUUUAUUAGUUUUGAUACGCUGCUAGAUGAGCCAACAGCAAUGUCUAGCAAAUUUUGAAAGGUUUAACAAGUUAUGUCAUGCUGGCAUAAGACUAUUUUACAAAUUAGGUAAGACUUGGCAGGCCAUAGGUUAAUGCUCGCAAACGUGGUAGACGUUGUGCAGACCACUGACAGCCUGUAAAUGAAUUAAACAGAGCAGCAGUGUAAAGGGGCUCUGGAGUUAGAAGGGGGAGCCAAUCCCCCCCCCCUUUGCUCACUCUGAGUGCUGUCAGUAAAAAUAGAUAGAGAAAAGGAAACAGAUUUAAUUUGUCAGCUAGAAUUGUUCAAUUAUCUAGUACAUCUGCUGACUAUUAAAUACAGAGAAAUGUAUGGAUACUCAAGGGGCUCCUGAGUUUUUAAAGGUUUUUAUUUUUUUAAUGACUACAGUGCUGACAGGCAAGGAUUCUCAUCAUAAAUAGAAGCAGAUAAAAAUCAAAAGGGAUUCCAGCAUCGGUUUAUUGUGUUACUAGCUCAAAUUCACUGAAGCUAUAAAUUGGAAGGGCAUCAUUCUUUGGAUCGAGCCAUUGCUCACUAUUUUAAUAUUUUGUAAUUUUAAAAUAUAUAUAUGUGUGUAUAUAUGUAUUAGUAAGGUCCAAAAUUGCGGAUGAUAUGCAGAUAAUCUGUUAAAGUAGGCACACGCAUCAUCACACACUUUUACUAAAAAGAUUUAAAAUUUUACUUUCAUUUUGCACACUAUUGUUCCUCCUGUGAGCUGCAAAAUUGCAUUCAACUAUACCAUGUUUCCCACAUCUGGAAGACUGUCAGUCCCUCUGUUAUGGGCCAGGAGUCAGCUUUGCCUGCUGAACAGCAGCCUGAAGGUGGAGAGACUCCACCUGCAGCUGAUCAGCCUUCAACGACACAGAAGAGGAGGCACUGAUGAGAACCAGCUGGUGUUAGCUUUCUUAAACAAAGCUUCCAGCAGCAGUCAGGUGCUGGUAGCAACACUUGCAGUUCCUGGCCCAACCUUGCUGCUUGCUGCUUGUCUUGAACCCCUGAUCAUCAGAUUCCCUGACCCCUGGACUGUCUGGUCACACGGAUUGCUGUUUGCUUGACCCUAGGACUGGACCUGACUUUGGAUGCUGACUCUCCUUCCAGGCAAGUACACCUCAGAGACUCUUCUGGUUGGCUGUCUUCCCACUCCACUGAGCUCUGCACAUAGUUGCUCAGCAACAAGACUACGACACCCUCUCCCCACCCCAAGAAAUCUUCCACCACUAUGUGCUAUCCACAGUUUGAGUGUUACCCAAGAAAUCAAAGUGAAUUUAACCACUGGGCUAUAAUUUAGGACCAGAUGUAGAAUUGAAGGUUUUCUCAAGCCAAGAAAAUCAUUACACCUGUAGGUGUUAUAUAUGAUAGGAAGCUUAAAAAUGAGAUCUGAUUGUAUGCAAAAUGGUGCAGAUGAAUAACCUGACAAAGACAUUUCUGACAUCUGUGUUCUGCUUAUGCCUUUUCAAAAUGAUGUGAGAUGGAGCAGUUAAGAAGAAGAAGAAAACAUUUUGAGUUGCUGAGACAUUUUCAACAAUAACACCUUAAAAAUAUAUCGAAUAUAAUAUUUGAUAGGUUUGGCAGCCAUUUUACAGUCCCUUUGAUAGGGAGGAAAUUAAAAAUCAAUUAUUCGCUAUAUAAUAAGCCAUUUUUUAAAUUCUGUUCUGUUAAUAAUGAAAGUGGUUCAGGAACAACAGGUAUAGUGGAAAGCUAUUCUCAAAAGCUAGAAACAAUAAAAAAUUAAGAGUAGGAAGAGACAUACUUACUCCAGUAUCAGCAAAGUUUCUAACAUUUAGAGAGAGAAAAUAUUUAAUGUAAAAUGCUAAUCCACCCUGAACUAGAUAUUGUGAAAAUAAUUUUAGAAUUAUGUUGUUUAGUCGUUUAGUUGUGUCCGACUCUUCGUGACCCCAUGAAUUUUAGAAUAAACCAGUUAAUUAAAAUAGAUGUAAAUAUCUCCUUAUAUUCCUGAAAUGAAAAUGUGAUUUCAGCUUUUCAAACAGUAUAUGUAUAUGUUAACGUUAAUUUUCUUCCAAAUACGGUUAUAUUGAAAAACAGCCUUAGUUUAAAACGACUCAUACAAACUGUCAGUACAACCUAUGACCCAACAAGCGAAAUAGAGCAUAUCAGCCAUGUAUGGUGGCCCACAAGGGACUUAUUAAACUUCCUGGUUUUGCUAUAGAGCAAAAAACAAAAACAAAAAACAGAGGACUUAUGAAGCAUCAGACAGGCCACUAUUCAUGCCUGUCUUCUGUUUGAUGGGUCACAACUUGUAUAGCCCUGACACAGAUGAUUUACCUCCACUAUG